rnacentral:ncRNA from 1 species
AAUACGUGAGUUAAUUUGUAAAAUUCAUGAAUAAAAGUUUUAUUUUUGUUUUAAAAGUUGGAUUAAAUUUUAUAUUUAUAUGUAAAUUUUUGUGUAAUUAAUAUAAAUUAUUUUAAUAAUAAUUUAAUUAUUUUUUCAGAUCGCAGUAAAUUGGAUUAUAAAUUAAUGAAAAUUAGAUUUAGGGAAAAUUUUUAGUAUUAACAAAAUUUGUGCCAGCAGUUGCGGUUACACAAAUAAUACAAUUUAAUUUUUUUUAGUAUUAAUAUAUUUAUAAUAAAAAUUUUAAUAAAAAAUUUAUUAGGUGAAAUUUUAAAUUUUUUAAAAAAUUAAAAAUUAAUAAUUAAUUAAUAAAUUUGUAAAUAAACUAGGAUUAGAUACCCUAUUAUUUUAAAUGUAAAUUUUUAUCUAGAUUAGUAUUUGUUAUGUUCAUGAAAAUUAAAAAAUUUGGCGGUUUUUUAGUCUAUUCAGAGGAACCUGUCCUAUAAAUGAUGAUCCACGAUUUACUUAACCUUUAUUAAUAGUUUGUAUAUCGUCGUAGUUUGAAUAUUUUAGGAGAAAUUUAAUAUUCAAAAUUUUAUUUAUAAAAAUAAAUCAGAUCAAGGUAUAGUUUAUAUAAAGGUAGAGAUGGGUUACAUUAAUAUGAAUUUAGGAUUUUUAAUUGAAAAUUAAAAAGAAUAAGGAUUUGAAAGUAAUUUUAUUUAAAUUUUUAAAAUGAUUUUAGCUCUAAAAAAUGUACAUAUCGCCCGUCGCUUUCAUUUUAAAGUGAAAUAAGUCGUAACAAAGUAGGCUUACUGGAAAGUGAGCCUAGAA